GUGAGGAAUUUUCCGCAAUGGGCGAAAGCCUGACGGAGCAAUGCCGAGUGAAGGAUGAAGGCCUAUGGGUUGUAAACUUCUUUUCUCAGAAAAGAAUUAUGACGGUAUCUGAGGAAUAAGCAUCGGCUAACUCUGUGCCAGCAGCCGCGGUAAGACAGAGGAUGCAAGCGUUAUCCGGAAUGAUUGGGCGUAAAGCGUCUGUAGGUUGUUUAAAAAGUAUUCUGUCAAAGAUUAGGGCUUAACCCUAGAUAGGCAGAAUAAACUUUUAAGCUAGAGUGUGGUAGAGGCAGAGGGAAUUCCCGGUGGAGCGGUGAAAUGCGUAGAUAUCGGGAGGAACACCAAAGGCGAAGGCACUCUGCUGGGCCAAUACUAACACUGAGAGACGAAAGCGAGGGGAGCAAAUGGGAUUAGAUACCCGUGUAGUCC
rnacentral:rRNA from 1 species